UCAGGUGAACAUGACAACAGGCCUUGUGAAUACAACAGUGGACAGCACAGUAUACAGUGAUGGUCAGCUUGCGGUGUAUGAGAUCCCCCAGGUUCUCCUUUCACAAGGUAUCCUCAGGACUCAAGCACCAGCACCGGCUCCUCUACCUCCAAAGCCUAAGAAGGUUACUCCCCUUAAUUCACAGGCUCCUUCAAGGUCGACCACCUCUGCUGUUGAUUCUUCUGAUGGGACAGCACUGCCCCACCAUGCACCGAUUGUUGUAUCCAUUGGAGUGGCUGUUCUUGCGGCAUUGCGCUUGUGCCUAUGAAUUGGUGCUGAUUGAUGAAUGAUGAUGAUGAUGUUAUCUUGCAGUGUGCUUGUGCUGUUACGAUUUUUCGUUUCAUCAAAAUUUUUACCUUUUGUUUCUCGAAAACGAUUAAUAACUCAAAUGAGCCUUUUUCUUGUUGAUAUGGAGAAACUUAAGUGGCAAACUUGCUCCCUUCAUGUUUCACACAAGUACUACACUUGAAAAUGACUCCUGGAAAAAUAAGGGGGAAACAAAUCUAAGUAGAUGAAGGCAAUUGAGAAGGUAAUGCCUAAUUUUAGAGAUGGUUUUGAUUUUACUAUGCAAUCUAAACCACUAGAAAGCAACUUGCAGUCAAAUCGGUAUAAAUCAAAAGCAGAUACUUGGUUGUGAGAACUCCAAACCGUGCAAAGGGUUAUUCUCGUGAAGAAAAUCACAAUAAGCUAGAGUUCUCAGAGCUCCCAUGGUCGAUGUUAAAUGCACCCAUCAAUUUUUUUUAUUACUAUUUUUAUUUUUAAAAUAAAUUUUAAAUAUAAAAAAACAAAACUGCUCUCUUCUUCCUCAACCCCACAUCCAUCCAAAACCCUAACCCUAACACCCCUUUCCUUUCUCUUUUUCUUUCUUUAAAUUUUCCUUUUCCUUCCCUUCUUUUCCAAUCAUCUUCUUUCUCAAACAUUCUUCUUUUCUUCCUUUUUAAAUUGAAGAGAUAUAAAGGAAAAGAAACAAAGAGAAGGGUAGGAUCAUGGUGUCUCACCGUGACUGCGGCAGCACAGCAGCCACUGUCAUCGCUCUCUCACUUUUGUUUCUCUGCUUAAGUGAAAAUAAUAAUAAUAAUAAUAACCUAACCGAAAAAAAAGAAGGAAAGGGAUGGUGGAACUGGAGAAAAGAGCGAAGGAAGAGCAAAGAGUGGGGUGGUGGAUGAGUAUAAGGGAGAGAAGGGCAAAAAUGUUCAUUAAUUUUUAUUUGAAAGUUAGAAAAAUAAGAGAGGUCUAGAAAGAUGAUCAUGAUAUGGAUGUAUUUAUUAACUCUCUUUUAAGGACUCUACAAAUAAUGACUUUAUAUUUUGAAAUGAUUCUUUUUAUAUAUAUAUAUAUAUAUAUAUAUGUAUGUAUAUACUAUGGCUUAAAAUAAAGUUUCCUAUGACAUUGAAUCGAAAUUUUGGUAACAAAAUUUCUUAAUUAAUUUAACAAUUGAACAGAUAACAAUAAAUAACAUGGUUAAAUCAUUCACUGGAUUGCAGUUCAUGAUGAUUAGUGUAAGGUUAUGUAAGGGAAUUUGAAGAGAUUAUGCGUGAAAUAUUAAAACAUACUAAUGCAUUGAAUUCAACAUUUGGCCAUAUCUUCCUUUGCUUCGCUGAAUUGCAAAUGAACGUCUCCCUCAACUAGCUAGAAGGAACAGUGUCGGAACAGUGUCGCAGAGUCCAAAACAAAUUAACCGACAAAUUCAUACAAUAACCGAUGAUUAAUAUGCAAUUAUGCUUUUCAUAUAUUAUGGGCGAGUAGAUAGUUUAUCGCCCUAGUUUUGUUUUUUUUAACGUUUUACAUGUGGCUUUCACUGAUAAAGACAAAGAUCCCAAAUGUCCAGUUGGCAUAUGUUGAAAACCUAGCUCCUAUAUGCUGCAACCUCCAUGGCUGCUUUUAGGAAUAAGCCAAAAGGAUCUGUAUACAUCGUUUUCUUACACACUAGAACCAUAUAUUCUACUCCUGGCUUUCUGUCUUGCUAAGCAAACUAGUAGAUGUUCUAACAAUAUAACACCUCCCCACCUGUGUCUUCCUCUUACCUUUUAAAAAGAUAGAUGGGAUAUUGAGGUUCUCUUGCCAAUUUCAAAUGCAGCCUUUCACCAAACAUCAUGCUCACUUCCCAUGUCACCCCCCAAAAUAAAAAGCCCCACUCCCCUCCAUACUCAUCCAAACAAACUCUUCUCCUCUACUUUCUCGGACCAACAAGUUUUCUACUGAUCAAUACCAACAGAGCCUAGGAAAAUAUGAUGAAGAAACUUCUCUCCCCAACUCUGCUUCUGCUGAUCUUCUCCCUUCUCUGCACCACUAAUUCUGGUCAGCCUUCAGCACCGGCUCAAGCACCUUCCGGUUGUACCACAACUUCUGGUCAGUCUUCACCACCAGCUCCAGCACCUUCAGGUCCUUUAGCUCCUUCAGCUUCUUCAGGUCCUGCCGACAUCGUAGCAAUUCUCAGAAAGGCCCGCAAGUUUAGUACCUUUAUUGGGCUACUAAAGAGCACCCAGAUGGAUGCUGAAAUCAACAGCGAACUCAAGAAAAAAUCUAACGCGGGCUUCACCAUAUUUGCUCCAACUGAUAGUGCCUUUUCGGACCUCAAAACUGGUACUCUGAACUCAUUCUCGGACAAUCAGAAGGCUGCGCUGACAAAAUUCCACAUAAUAAAUUCUUUCCUUACAAUCUCGCAGUUCCAAACUGUGAGCAACCCACUGCACACAUCGGCAAAUGGUAACACUAAGGAGUUUCCACUGAAUGUGAUAGGGAACGGAACUCAGGUGAACAUGACAACAGGCCUUGUGAAUACAACAGUGGACAGCACAGUAUACAGUGAUGGUCAGCUUGCUGUGUAUGAGAUCCCCCAGGUUCUCCUUUCACAAGGUAUCCUCAGGACUCAAGCACCAGCAUCGGCUCCUCUACCUCCAAAGCCUAAGAAGGCUACUCCUCUUAAUUCACAUGCUCCUUCAACCUCGACCACCGUCUCUGUUGAUUCUUCUGAAGCGACAGGUCUGCCCCACUAUGCACCAAUUAUGGUAUCCAUUGGAGUGGCUGUUGUUGCGGCAUU
rnacentral:lncRNA from 1 species